rnacentral:rRNA from 1 species
AAUGAACGCUGGCGGCGUGCUUAACACAUGCAAGUUUUGGACGAGAAAGGCUGAUUUUCGGUUGGCCGAGUAAAGUAGCGCACGGGUGAGUAACGCGUAGGCAACCUACCCUUGUAUUGGGGAUAACCCCGCGAAAGCGGGGCUAAUACCGGAUACGAUCCCACGAUGGUGGUUGUGGGAUGAAAGUCAGCCACUCGAAGAAGCUGACGUACGAGGAUGGGCCUGCGUCCUAUCAGCUAGUUGGUGGGGUAGUGGCCUACCAAGGCGACGACGGGUAGCUGGUCUGAGAGGAUGAUCAGCCACACUGGCACUGGAACACGGGCCAGACUCCUACGGGAGGCAGCAGUGAGGAAUUUUGCGCAAUGGCCGCAAGGCUGACGCAGCAACGCCGCGUGGGUGAUGAAGGCCUUCGGGUCGUAAAGCCCUGUCAGGUGGGAAGAAAGGCUUGAUUGGGAAUACCGGUUGAGUUUGACGGUACCACCAGAGGAAGCACCGGCUAACUCCGUGCCAGCAGCCGCGGUAA